rnacentral:rRNA from 1 species
UACGAAGGGGGCUAGCGUUGCUCGGAUUGACUGGGCGUAAAGCGCACGUAGGCGGAUUGCUAAGUCAGGGGUGAAAUCCUGGAGCUCAACUCCAGAACUGCCUUUGAUACUGGCGAUCUCGAGUCCGGGAGAGGUGAGUGGAACUGCGAGUGUAGAGGUGAAAUUCGUAGAUAUUCGCAAGAACACCAGUGGCGAAGGCGGCUCACUGGCCCGGUACUGACGCUGAGGUGCGAAAGCGUGGGGAGCAAACAGG